rnacentral:rRNA from 1 species
GACGAACGCUGGCGGCGUGCUUAACACAUGCAAGUCGAACGGAAAGGCCCUGCUUUUGUGGGGUGCUCGAGUGGCGAACGGGUGAGUAACACGUGAGUAACCUGCCCUUGACUUUGGGAUAACUUCAGGAAACUGGGGCUAAUACCGGAUAGGAGCUCCUGCUGCAUGGUGGGGGUUGGAAAGUUUCGGCGGUUGGGGAUGGACUCGCGGCUUAUCAGCUUGUUGGUGGGGUAGUGGCUUACCAAGGCUUUGACGGGUAGCCGGCCUGAGAGGGUGACCGGCCACAUUGGGACUGAGAUACGGCCCAGACUCCUACGGGAGGCAGCAGUGGGGAAUAUUGCACAAUGGGCGGAAGCCUGAUGCAGAAACGCCGCGUGCGGGAUGACGGCCUUCGGGUUGUAAACCGCUUUAGCCUGUGACGAAGCGUGAGUGACGGUAAUGGGGAAAGAAGCACCGGCUAACUACGU